CCCACCACGCACAAAACACCGCUCCUCUCGAUCCCCUGAUGCGAUCUUCCUGGAACCGUCGCCUUCACGGAUCCGCCGCCGCAACCAUCGCCUUGUUCCCGUGCGCCACCGUCGCACCCUCUCCCAGCGCCCGAGCAUCCCCAUCGCUCCCUCUCCCAGCGCCGCCUCCGCCGCCAUGGCCCCUCCCCUUGCGCCCCGAACUGCCUCGCGCACUCGUCGCCCGUUAUACCACAGAGGAGGCGAAGACAGCGGCAGCGCGCCGCCUACUUCGCCGGUCGCCGCCUCGGCUGCACUCGGCGGGCGCCACGCCGUCUCCUCUCCAUGGGAGUGGCAGAUGGAAAUAUAUCAACGAUGGGGUGUGGUUCGUUCCUGUCAGGGUUUUUUCUUUGACGCUGCUGCUCCUGGAGCACCAACUCAAAAUUUUCUCAUAUACUGGUGUUGCCCGAGCACGAGCACAAGGCGACAUUUUUGCUGGCCAUCUUGUUCAACACCUGCUGGGGAGGGGGAGGAGGCCGGCAACAGGAGAAGGCGCAUGCCAGCGAGGAGGGCGAGCAGAAGGGUGCGGUGGAGGACGAUCAGGGGGAGACGUGAGCGCUCAGGCCUAGGUUUGUGUUGUUCUCGACUUGAGUAUAUGGGGCUCGAAUUGUGAUGGAUAUGAGGUGAGGAAAGAAGGUUUGGUAUGCAACUCACAGUUCUCUCGGUAUGUUUUCGGUACAUGUUCGGAAUAUCUGCAACUAGGUGCAUAAAAGAUGGAUCUUCAAGACAUGCUAUCUUGUUUCGUAAGUACUGCUAUUUAAGGUUAGCCUUGCAGAACUAUCUUUUAAUGUUCCCAGUUUAUCCUAAAGUAUUUUAGCCUAAAUUUCCUGUCAUUUAGAUAGAUGUGGGUUAUGCUAAUCUGACUGGUGUUAUGGUAUUGUAGCUACUGCACAUGUCCCUCGAUUUCCUAGUUCCAUGUGUCAGGAUGCUAAUAUGGGUGUUACUAUAUUGCCUUCCAGUUUAUCCUAAAGUAUUUUAGCCUAAAUUUCUUGUCAUUUAGAUAGAUGUGGGUUAUGCUAAUCUGACUGGUGGGUUAUGCUAAUCUGACUGGUAAGUAUGGUAUUGUAGCUACUGUACAUGUCCCUCAAUUUCCCAGUUCCAUGUGUCAGGAUGCUAAUAUGGGUGUUACUAUAUUGCCUUCCAUUUUGUAAUAUGUUAUGUUUGCAAUUUCUCAAGGCCGCCGCCGCCGCCGUCUGUAGCAACGCAUAGGCCGCUUGCCCAGCUCCCUCAUUCCGAGCACGACACCACGCGUCGGAGCUUGUCGGGAGGCACGGAAGGACGAACAGAGUUCUACCGGUGAUCCGUGUUGUCGCUGACGGUGUCAUAGGAUCUGCGGUGCACGUGGACAAGGCGAUGGGGCUGCCAACCUACCUCCUGUUCACCACAGCGCGUGUGGAUUCUUGGGCUACCUCAACUUGGAUCAGCUUUUUCAAGAGGGGAUGCUUGCCAUUCAGAGGAUCUGAUGGAGAAGAUAAAGACAACUAAUACGCUGAAAAUGAUUUUACAUCCUGGUUCGAAAAGUAAAAGGGAAAUCUUCGAGUAAAGGUAUGUUCUACUGCAAAGGAACUUCCCGAGGGAUCCCAUUGAAAUUGAAAGUAUGUUUCUUUUUUUAUUCCUAGAUUUUGAGCAUCUUGAAGGUUCAUCACUUGAUUUUCACCACUACAUCAUGUUUUAUGUAACUCCACACCACCAGAGUCUGGUAAUGCAAUUCCACCUCCCUUUCUUUGUUCUGAUUCAAUGUUAAUCAUCCGACCGGAGUUGGUCAAUGCUAGAGGAUUUGGCUUGGUGGUGGCAUUGCAUAUAGCAGCUUGUGGAAUGGUAAUGUUGCUGCCGUAGCCUUGAUUGCUUUGUAGUUUCAUCCUAGGAAGCAUUUAGGCUGUUAUGAACCUGGAUGUUUCACUUUAGGUUGGUUAAUUAAACUUCUUGAUGUCAGUGACGUAUUGUUUUUCUUUAACCUGCUAGGAGUCUUGGGUACUGUCAUGGUGAUGAUGUCAAAUAACCUUCAUCGACAGGUACAAAUAGUUUAGGUUGUGUUUUGCAUUGUGUUAUCCCGUCUCUAUUUUUUUAUUCAUGUACCUUUGUAUAGUUGUAUCCCCUUUUAAACAGUAGAGAUUUAUUGGCCAAGAGAAAAUCUUGUUACAUUUGAGGCUAAUAUCUUGCUAAUUUCAGUUAUGUUAUUGUGAAACCAAGACCUUGGAAAAUACCGGUUAGUGAUCCUAACAAGUAUUUGUGUGCAGUAUACUAAGAUUGUUAUGUCUUGCUUUAAAUCUUCCUGUAUAUAAGAAAAUUUAAAGUAGCACCGGAACUUCUUAAACUAACCAGCCAACAAAUAUAUCAGCAUAUUCACGGUUAAGACAACUCACAAAUAGAAAUAUUUUGCUGGCAAUAUCUACCUAAUACGACUGAAGAUAAAUGUUCUUGAUGUGUGCCGCUUGGAUAAGAGAUUUGAUGAUGCUAAUUGAGAACUUUACCUGACCAAUAAUCCGCGACAUUGUGAUGGUUGCAUAGAUUAGAAAAUGAAUGGACAAUGUAUUUUUUUGCCAUCUUAAUGUUAAAUAAUUACCCUGUACCUUAGUACCUAUAGAUAAUAUUUUUGUAUAGCAAAGGUGAUGGCUAGAUCAUAAAAUUGGCGGAUUUGCAUGCCUGAUAUGAAAGUACAAUUCGUACUCAUAGUGAGAUUUUUUAUCGCUCAAUAUAUCAGAUGCUUCAUUCUUGGGUGUUCAUUGUAUAUCUUAUUACGAUGAAGACAUACUUCCCAUUGUGUUAUCCUGCCAAUGAAUGUAUUCAAUUUAUAGUGUAGUGGCUAAUUUCAUGAACUAAAUAGGUGUUAUAGAAUUUUUUUCUUUUCAUUUUAAUUGUGUAUAUGUAGUUCUGCACAACACGCCUUCUUGCUGAGUUAUAUCAACAGAAGCCAGUAUGCUAAAAUUAACAAAGCUCUUAUGCGACAUUUACUUAUGUGAUGUGGAUCAAUCUAAACAAGUUUUUUUGGUUAGUUUGUCUAUUUUUUCAGGGAUAAACUGCCUUAACCGAAGCAGCAUAUGUUGGAGAAUGUAGAUUCAGCUUUCGUUUCAGUAGCUUUGGAGGUAUCCUAUAUGACUAUGAGUGAUAUACUCUCCUGUCUCCUCCCUCCAUUUUACUCGAGUUAACCCCUGUACGCACAUCUCUACGUCUGCCUUCAGGUGCUUUUCCAUUUGCUACAUAUAGUGUAGUUUUAUGUAUUUUCAAGCUCUUACUGUACCAGACUAAGUGUGGUUAAGUAAAUCGCUUUUGCUCUCUCUUCGGUCUUUCUAUUCCGAUGUCUCAAAGGAACGGGGUGAUACGUGAUAUACGUAUACGGGUAAGGAAUGCUGGUUGUCUGUGAUUUUCAUGGUGGUGGAAAGGAAUGUGCGGAGAGACAAGCUGCAGGGACCAUAUGAUGCAGAAGGAACGGAGACGGGCCAUGCAAGAAAAUCCAUACCAAACGAACUCCAAACGUGAUGAGACUUUUUGACGAUUUUUGGAACAUAAGAGACCCCCGAAACUUCAUGGGAGGAUUAGAAGACCCAUGAGGAGGUGACAAGGCAACCCGACACGCCCAUGGGGGUGGCCACACAGGGAUACCUUAUGGGCCCCUCGUAACUCCAUUUUGCGUGAUUCCAACUCUGAAAAUUCUUAUAAAUAGGGAACCCCCAAAAAAUAAACCUAUAACUUCAA